rnacentral:rRNA from 1 species
UGGGGAAUUUUCCGCAAUGGGCGAAAGCCUGACGGAGCAAUACCGCGUGAGGGAGGAAGGCUUUUGGGUUGUGAACCUCUUUUCUCAAGGAAGAAGAUCUGACGGUACUUGAGGAAUCAGCAUCGGCUAACUCCGUGCCAGCAGCCGCGGUAAUACGGAGGAUGCAAGCGUUAUCCGGAAUGAUUGGGCGUAAAGCGUCUGCAGGUGGCUAUGCAAGUCUGCUGUUAAAGAGUGGAGCUCAACUCCAUAAGGGCAGUGGAAACUGGAUAGCUAGAGUGCGGUAGGGGUAGAGGGAAUUCCCAGUGUAGCGGUGAAAUGCGUAGAUAUUGGGAAGAACACCAGUGGCGAAGGCGCUCUACUGGGCCGCAACUGACACUGAGGGACGAAAGCUAGGGGAGCGAAUGGGAUUAGAUACCCCUGUAGUCC